UGGCUAACUCCUACGGGAGGCAGCAGUGGGGAAUUUUGGACAAUGGGGGCAACCCUGAUCCAGCAAUGCCGCGUGAGUGAAGAAGGCCUUCGGGUUGUAAAGCUCUUUUGUCAGGGAAGAAACGGUAGUAGCUAAUAUCUAUUACUAAUGACGGUACCUGCAGAAUAAGCACCGGCUAACUACGUGCCAGCAGCCGCGGUAAUACGUAGGGUGCAAGCGUUAAUCGGAAUUACUGGGCGUAAAGCGUGCGCAGGCGGUUUUGUAAGUCAGAUGUGAAAUCCCCGGGCUCAACCUGGGAAUUGCAUUUAAGACUGCACGGCUAGAGUGUAGCAGAGGGGGGUAGAAUUCCACGUGUAGCAGUGAAAGGCGUAGAUAUGUGGAGGAAUACCGAUGGCGAAGGCAGCCCCCUGGGAUAACACUGACGCUCAGGCACGAAAGGGUGGGGAGCAAACAGGAUUAGAUACCCCGGUAGUCCAGCUGG
rnacentral:rRNA from 1 species